UACGGGGGGGGCAAGCGUUGUUCGGAAUUACUGGGCGUAAAGGGCUCGUAGGCGGCCAACUCAGUCGGACGUGAAAUCCCUCGGCUUAACCGGGGAACUGCGUCUGAUACUGGAUGGCUUGAGUUUGGGAGAGGGAUGCGGAAUUCCAGGUGUAGCGGUGAAAUGCGUAGAUAUCUGGAGGAACACCGGUGGCGAAGGCGGCAUCCUGGACCAACACUGACGCUGAGUGAGCGAAAGCCAGGGGAGCAAACGGG
rnacentral:rRNA from 1 species